rnacentral:tRNA from 1 species
GCGGUCGUAGAAUAUGUUUUCUCGGCGCUGCUGAUGCUGGCUGAGCGCGAUGGUUUCGCGCUGACCGAUC